AUUGAACGCUGGCGGCAGGCCUAACACAUGCAAGUCGAGCGGAUGAAGGGAGCUUGCUCCUGGAUUCAGCGGCGGACGGGUGAGUAAUGCCUAGGAAUCUGCCUGGUAGUGGGGGAUAACGUCCGGAAACGGGCGCUAAUACCGCAUACGUCCUGAGGGAGAAAGUGGGGGAUCUUCGGACCUCACGCUAUCAGAUGAGCCUAGGUCGGAUUAGCUAGUUGGUGGGGUAAAGGCCUACCAAGGCGACGAUCCGUAACUGGUCUGAGAGGAUGAUCAGUCACACUGGAACUGAGACACGGUCCAGACUCCUACGGGAGGCAGCAGUGGGGAAUAUUGGACAAUGGGCGAAAGCCUGAUCCAGCCAUGCCGCGUGUGCGAAGAAGGUCUUCGGAUUGUAAAGCACUUUAAGUUGGGAGGAAGGGCAGUAAGUUAAUACCUUGCUGUUUUGACGUUACCUACAGAAUAAGCACCGGCUAACUUCGUG
rnacentral:rRNA from 1 species